rnacentral:sRNA from 1 species
GUAUCGGUCCCAAAUCCCGCCGCUUCCAGCCAGUGGCCCUUAAGGUGCAGGCUGGGGCAGCGGCUGUAAUAGCGGGUCAUAUCGUUGCGGUCGGCGUGGCGGCGGCU